rnacentral:rRNA from 1 species
CGCUGGAGAACUGAGGGGGGCUGCUCCUAGUACGAGAGGACCGGAGUGGACGCAUCACUGGUGUUCGGGUUGUCAUGCCAAUGGCACUGCCCGGUAGCUAAAUGCGGAAGAGAUAAGUGCUGAAAGCAUCUAAGCACGAAACUUGCCCCGAGAUGAGUUCUCCCUGACUCCUUGAGAGUCCUGAAGGAACGUUGAAGACGACGACGUUGAUAGGCCGGGUGUGUAAGCGCAGCGAUGCGUUGAGCUAACCGGUACUAAUGAACCGUGAGGCUUAACCUU